rnacentral:rRNA from 1 species
CCUACGGGAGGCAGCAGUGGGGAAUAUUGGACAAUGGGCGAAAGCCUGAUCCAGCAAUACCGCGUGUGUGAAGAAGGGCUGCGGGUUGUAAAGCACUUUCAGUAGGAAGGAAAAGCCUCAAGUUAAUAACUUUGGGUCUUGACGUAACCUACAGAAGAAGCACCGGCUUACUCCGUGCCAGCAGCCGCGGUAAU